ACUCCUACGGGAGGCAGCAGUGGGGAAUAUUGGACAAUGGGGGGAACCCUGAUCCAGCGACGCCGCGUGAGUGAAGAAGUAUUUCGGUAUGUAAAGCUCUAUCAGCAGGGAAGAAAAUGACGGUACCUGACUAAGAAGCCCCGGCUAACUACGUGCCAGCAGCCGCGGUAAUACGUAGGGGGCAAGCGUUAUCCGGAUUUACUGGGUGUAAAGGGAGCGCAGACGGCUUGGCAAGUCUGAAGUGAAAGCCCGGGGCUUAACCCCGGGACUGCUUUGGAAACUGUGAAGCUAGAGUGUCGGAGAGGUAAGUGGAAUUCCCAGUGUAGCGGUGAAAUGCGUAGAUAUUGGGAGGAACACCGGUGGCGAAGGCGGCUUACUGGACGAUAACUGACGUUGAGGCUCGAAGGCGUGGGGAGCAAACAGGAUUAGAUACCCUUGUAGUCCU
rnacentral:rRNA from 1 species